rnacentral:rRNA from 1 species
UAGAGAUUGAUCCUGGCUCAGGAUGAACGCUGGCGGUCUGCUUAACACAUGCAAGUCGAACGGAAUCCUUCGGGAUUUAGUGGCGGACGGGUGAGUAACACGUGAGAAUCUGCACUCAGGAUGGGGACAACAGCGGGAAACUGCUGCUAAUACCCAAUGUGCCGAAAGGUAAAAGAUUUAUCGCCUGAGAAUGAGCUCGCGGCCGAUUAGUUAGUUGGUGGGGUAAUGGCCUACCAAGACGGCGAUCGGUAGCUGGUCUGAGAGGAUGAGCAGCCACACUGGGACUGAGACACGGCCCAGACUCCUACGGGAGGCAGCAGUGGGGAAUUUUCCGCAAUGGGCGCAAGCCUGACGGAGCAAGACCGCGUGGGGGAGGAAGGCUCUUGGGUUGUAAACCCCUUUUCUCAGGGAAGAAGUUCUGACGGUACCUGAGGAAUCAGCCUCGGCUAACUCCGUGCCAGCAGCCGCGGUAAUACGGAGGAGGCAAGCGUUAUCCGGAAUUAUUGGGCGUAAAGCGUCCGUAGGUGGUGGGGCAAGUCGGCGGUUAAAGACUGGGGCUUAACUCCAGAAAGGCCGUGGAAACUGCACCACUAGAGGGCAGUAGGGGUAGAGGGAAUUCCCGGUGUAGCGGUGAAAUGCGUAGAGAUCGGGAAGAACACCAGUGGCGAAAGCGCUCUACUGGACUGCAACUGACACUCAGGGACGAAAGCUAGGGGAGCGAAUGGGAUUAGAUACCCCAGUAGUCCUAGCCGUAAACGAUGAUACUAGGGGUCCAU